GUGUGUAUAAAUAUAAAGGCGGUGAGUUGGCAGAAUCGUUAGCACGCCGGGCAAAAUGCUUAGCGGUAUUUCGUCUGCCGUUACGUUCUGAGUUCAAAUUCCGCCGAGGUCGACUCUGCCUUUCAUCCUUUCAGGGUCGAUAAAUUAAGUACCAGUGAAACACUGGG